rfam:Ictidomys tridecemlineatus contig042330, whole genome shotgun sequence.
UGGAAUGUAGCUCAGUUGGUACAGUGUUUGCCUUGCAUGCACAAGGCCCUGGGUUCGAUCCCCAGCACUCCCC